rnacentral:misc_RNA from 1 species
UUUCCGUAGGUGAACCUGCGGAAGGAUCAUUACCGAGUGAGGGCCCUCUGGGUCCAACCUCCCACCCGUGUUUAUCGUACCUUGUUGCUUCUGCGGGCCCGCCUCACGGCCGCCGGGGCGCACCCGCCCCCGGGCCCCCGCCCGCCGAAGACACCAUUGAACGCUGUCUGAAGAUUGCAGUCUGAGCAUCUUAGCUCACUCAGUUAAAACUUUCAACAACGGAUCUCUUGGUUCCG